GAUGAACGCUGGCGGCGUGCCUAAUACAUGCAAGUCGAGCGAACAGACGAGGAGCUUGCUCCUCUGACGUUAGCGGCUGACGGGUGAGUAACACGUGGAUAACCUACCUAUAAGACUGGGAUAACUUCGGGAAACCGGAGCUAAUACCGGAUCAUAUAUUGAACCGCAUGGUUCAAUAGUGAAGGACGGUUUUGCUGUCACUUAUAGAUGGAUCCGCGCCGGAUUAGCUAGUUGGUAAGGUAACGGCUUACCAAGGCAACGAUGCGUAGCCGACCUGAGAGGGUGAUCGGCCACACUGGAACUGAGACACGGUCCAGACUCCUACGGGAGGCAGCAGUAGGGAAUCUUCCGCAAUGGGCGAAAGCUUGACGGAGCAACGCCGCGUGAGUGAUGAAGGUCUUCGGAUCGUAAAACUCUGUUAUUAGGGAAGAACAAAUGUGUAAGUAACUAUGCACGUCUUGACGGUACCUAAUCAGAAAGCCACGGCUAACUACGUG
rnacentral:rRNA from 1 species